GCUGCUGCUGCUACUGCUGUUUCCAGGGGCUGCAGAGCAUGGACUGUUAAAUCUUGCACUUCUUCUGAGUGAGACUAUAUUUCAGCGGUAUGAAAUACAAGAGAAUAAUUCAGCGUUGAUGGCAAAAUCUCAAUGAUGAAGUUUAUCACUAAAAGAAAACAACCUAUGCUGUGAAAGCAGAGAUGCUCUAGAAUCUACAGGUCUUUUCCUAUGGGAAAAUAAGAGAAAAAAAGACUGUCAUCAGAAUCAUUUUACAGCAUUGAGACUAUGUUGAUUUCAAGGUCAUGUUUGUUGCAGCUUCAAAAGAUGCUGGCAAGGAACGAGGUACUCUAGAAACCUGGCUGUUGCAUUAUUAAAUAUUUUGUGUAUAGUUUCGGACAUUCUUAACCCGUUUGGUGCUGUGGACCUCUUUGGCAGCCUGGUGAAGCCUAUGUACUUUUCUCAGAAUUAUGUUUUUACAUGCAUAAAA
rnacentral:lncRNA from 10 species